AUUGUUUAAAUAAGUUGAAGUUGAACAUGACGUGGUUCCAAAUGUAACAAAACAAAUAGUUCAGAUAGGUUCAAGUUCAUCCAAUUUUCAGCAAGAUCUGCAACAACAAAUAACUAGGGUUAGAAAACUUUGUUCAGAUAGGUUCAAGUGCAAGAACAAGAAAAAGGAGUAGAGGGAGGGGAAGAAGUGGAUGCGACUUGGAUCUGGUGGCUAUUAAGCAGAGGAGAUGGGAACCCAACAGGCAGAGGAGGGGGGACAUGGGAGCAUGGGAGGGAAGACGGAGCAAGAGAGGGACUCCAGAGCACGGGGAGAAGAGCUGGAGCGGCGACGGACGACCCGGGCAAGGCCAUGGCGGCCCAUAGUUGCCAGAAAUUUGGGUCGAUCGGGUCGAGGAACAGGGUCGCGGGACGCGGAUCGCCACGGCUGAAAUCGAGGGUCAAAGAAGGCUACUCUUCUUCGAGACGCUAUUUGGGAUCGCGGGACGCGACCCACUACAACCGGUAAGGCGCAAUUUCUCUUUGCUUCUUCCAUACCAAUCUGGAUCAGCACCCAUCGAUCGGGAUCGCGACCCAUCCAGCGACCCAGCUCGACCCUACCCUGUCCCCGACCCUCGAUCCGGGUCGAUCGACCCCGGGUCAGGGAUCGCACCAUCGACCCGCGAACCAGGCUACUAUGUGGCGGCCACAGGCAGAGGAAAGGGCCAACAGGGAAGGAGGAGGAGGGCUGGCUAGGGGAUCUAUCACAGGGGACGCGGAGGAGGGUCAGCCGUGCGGACGGCUCACCGGAGUACGGGAAGAGGAGGACGAUUGACGAGAGGACUUACCUGGGCGCCGCCAUCGCUUCCCUGUGGGCGCUGUCUCCUGGUUCCCCUGCUCGAGCGAGCCGAGGGGUGGGGAUGCUUCGUUAGCGAACAGAUAAGGUAGCGAAUCAUUUUCUUUUGCGGGGGUGGGUGUUUCCAGCGAAAUCCAAGGGGUAAGUCUCAGUAUCUUUUAAGAUUCAGCGGCUGUAUUGGUUCCAUUUCAGUCUGUUGUGUUCAUCCAC
rnacentral:lncRNA from 1 species